rnacentral:rRNA from 1 species
UUUUAUUUGAGAGUUUGAUCCUGGCUCAGGAUGAACGCUGGCGGCGUGCCUAACACAUGCAAGUUGAGCGAUUUACUUCGGUAAAGAGCGGCGGACGGGUGAGUAACGCGUGGGUAACCUACCCUGUACACACGGAUAACAUACCGAAAGGUAUGCUAAUACGGGAUAAUAUAUUUGAGAGGCAUCUCUUAAAUAUCAAAGGUGAGCCGGUACAGGAUGGACCCGCGUCUGAUUAGCUAGUUGGUAAGGUAACGGCUUACCAAGGCGACGAUCAGUAGCCGACCUGAGAGGGUGAUCGGCCACAUUGGAACUGAGACACGGUCCAAACUCCUACGGGAGGCAGCAGUGGGGAAUAUUGCACAAUGGGCGAAAGCCUGAUGCAGCAACGCCGCGUGAGUGAUGAAGGCCUUCGGGUCGUAAAACUCUGUCCUCAAGGAAGAUAAUGACGGUACUUGAGGAGGAAGCCCCGGCUAACUACGUGCCAGCAGCCGCGGUAAUACGUAGGGGGCUAGCGUUAUCCGGAUU